rnacentral:lncRNA from 13 species
UACCAUGGAGUUGGACUAAGCCUGGUGUCAGAGCCCUGAUGGAGUUGUCAUGGGCAGUUCUGGGGAUGAUCUGAGGAGAUGCAGAAGGAAAUUGCUGUGAGAAUGAAUGACUGUCAGCCAGAACAGGCACCUGGUGAGUGCUCAGGGACUACCCUCAGAAGCUGCCCAGAGGCCAAAACCACCCAUCUGUAGCAACAGUUCCCAAGCCAGGAGGAGGACAAGAUAGCAGGUUCCACUAACUUGAGUCUGAUCAGUCAGCCAUGCUGAGACGUACCUCUCAUGAAGAAAACAGUCCUGCAGGCAGAGCCACUGACAGACACUGUUGUACGUCUCUAACUGCUUCACAACACAGACAAUGGAGGGCUCAGCAAGGAUGACAUCAUGUGUGACACAACCCAUCACAACAGGAACCUGCUGAAUGUGUGCUGGGAGGGCUUGUCUUGCGAUUCCUUGGUGGCUCCACCUCUGCUUCUAAGAAAAAUUACUCACUCCAGGGCUGGGGGAGAGAAAAUACAAGAUUAGCAUGUAACAUCAUGUGCCAGAAAGUAAAAAAGUACUCACAGAGUAAAAGGGCCAAAUUAAAAAGACAUAAAGUCAGCUUGAAAUGUCUACCACUGGCCUAAUCUUGGGGCAUCUGAGCACCAAAAUCAUGAGCUUUUCCUUCUCCCUUAUUUAUUGGUUUUAUUUUUCCAUGUGGAACAAAAAAGAGAAUCAGAAAGUAAUCUUUUGGCAACCAUCAUAGUAAUAAUUGUUCAAACACAAAUCACCAAUGAAAUGCUAAAUCUAGUAGGUUUUGAGGGGUAACAAGAUAGUUACAAAGCCUCAACGUAUCUUCUCACAAAAUAACUGCUGAACUGCAAAAAGGAAAUAGUAACAUUAGUGGUCAGAUGCAGUGGCUCACACCUGUAAUCCCAGCACUUUGCCAGGCCAAGGCAGGUAGAUCACCUGAGGUCAGGAGUUCAAGACCAGCUGGACCAACAUGCUGAAACCCCAUCUCUAUCAAAAAUUAGCUGGGUGUGGUGGCAGGCAACUGCAAUCCCAGCUACUUAGAAAGCUGAGGCAGGAGAACACCUGAACCCAGGAGGCAGAGGUUGCAGUGAGCUGAGACCGCAUCAUUGUUCUCCAGCGUGGAUGAGGAGCAAAACUCUACCUCAUAAAUAAAUAAAUUGAUUAAAUUAAAUAAAGGAAAUAG